ACCCUAGCUCAGGCCGGCAGAGCCAGCGCUCGCGGAUGCGGCUGGUGCGCAGUAGCGGGCCUGGCCAGCGGCUCGGGGCUUGCAGGGAGGGCGGAUCUCGGGUCGGACCCGCAGCCCCAGACGCCGGGCUUGGGGGUUCCCCCCGCCCCGGCCUCCUGCCAGUCACUACCACCCCUAGCCUCUCCAACUGAGCUCGGCGCCGGGAGAGGAUUAACAUGAACUCCAGGACCGCAUCUGCUAGGGGCUGGUUCAGCAGCCGCCCACCCACCUCUGAGUCUGACCUGGAACCUGCCACAGAUGGGCCAGCCUCCGAGACCACUACCCUCAGCCCAGAGGCCACCACCUUUAAUGACACCAGAAUCCCUGAUGCAGCUGGUGGCACGGCCGGCGUGGGUACCAUGCUUCUGUCCUUUGGGAUCAUCACGGUGAUAGGCCUGGCUGUGGCCUUGGUGAGAGCUGGGGUAGGCUGGGGGAGGAUAAUCAGUGUUUAGAUUUAUAGAGAACCUAAUCAAUCAGAAGACAAUCUGGUUG
rnacentral:lncRNA from 1 species